GGUAGCAUACAAAUUUCGUAAUCUACAUAGUCAAGUGUAGUGUGAUAUGAUUUACACAUUGUUAUACUGUUACAUACAAGGGGAAGUGGAUGACGAUGAUACAAUUAACAGUAACUAAACAAAUAAAAGAUUGGCGCCAUGUACGUAAUCUGAGGAUAGAAUUGCGAACAUUACGACUCGUUUGAUAAGACGAAUAAAAAAUUUCAUGUCAAAAGAAAAACUAGAGAAUAAGUGAUUCAAUAACUAGUUGUUUCAGUAGAUUAUUUUCAAAAACUGUGACAGUAUUUUCAGCUGCUGCCUAAGCACAAGGAAUAAAAAGAUUGUCAUUUGAUAAAGUUGAUUAGCAAUGAAGGUCACCCAACUGAAUACAAGUCAAAACUUGAUUUAGAACUUUGAUCAAGUGAUAAACUACGGCUUAGGACAUCGCAAGACCAAAACAUGGAAAGGUGGAAGUGUCAUUACAGAAAAGAUAAAGCCACCAUGAUGAAGUUGCACGCUAAUACGCAAACAAAAACCAGAUUAAACCUGCUACCAGCAUCACACCUUUACAUUCCUAC